UCCCUGGUGGCUCAGCUGGUAAAGAAUCUGCCUGCAAUGCAGGAGACCUGGGUCCGAUCCCUGGCUUGGGAA
rnacentral:tRNA from 1 species